AUUGAACGCUGGCGGCAUGCCUUACACAUGCAAGUCGAACGGCAGCACGGGGCAACCUGGUGGCGAGUGGCGAACGGGUGAGUAAUGCAUCGGAACGUGCCAUUGAGUGGGGGAUAACGUAGCGAAAGUUGCGCUAAUACCGCAUAUUCUGUGAGCAGGAAAGCAGGGGACCGCAAGGCCUUGCGCUCUUUGAGCGGCCGAUGUCAGAUUAGCUAGUUGGUGAGGUAACGGCUUACCAAGGCGACGAUCUGUAGCGGGUCUGAGAGGAUGAUCCGCCACACUGGAACUGAGACACGGUCCAGACUCCCACGGGAGGCAGCAGUGGGGAAUUUUGGACAAUGGGCGCAAGCCUGAUCCAGCCAUGCCGCGUGAGUGAAGAAGGCCUGG
rnacentral:rRNA from 1 species